UUGGGGUAACUUUGGGGUAUUUUCCAGGUUUUUUAGAGGUGAUUUUUGGGGUGGCUUUGGGGUAACUUUGGGGUAUUUUGCAGGUUUUUUAGAGAUGAUUUUGGGGUAACUUUGGGGUAUUUUGCAGGUUUUUUAGAGGUGAUUUUGGGGUGACUUUGGGUUGAUUUUGGGGCUUAUUUAGCCAUAACUUUACAGUGUUUUAGAGGUGACUUUGGGCUGAUUUUGAGAGCGAUUUCAGGGAUAAUUUCAGGAUAAUUUUGGGCUAAUUUUGGGGUAACUUUAGGGUGAUUUUGGGGAUAAUUUGGGGCUGAUUUUGAGGUGAGUUUGGGCUAUUUUUGGGAUC
rnacentral:lncRNA from 1 species